UACGAAGGGGGCUAGCGUUGUUCGGAAUUACUGGGCGUAAAGCGCGCGCAGGCGGCCGAUCAAGUCAGGGGUGAAAGCCCGGAGCUCAACUCCGGAAUUGCCUUUGAAACUGAUCGGCUUGAGUACGGGAGAGGUGAGUGGAAUUCCCAGUGUAGAGGUGAAAUUCGUAGAUAUUGGGAAGAACACCGGUGGCGAAGGCGGCUCACUGGCCCGUUUCUGACGCUCAGGCGCGACAGCGUGGGGAUCAAACAGG
rnacentral:rRNA from 1 species